CCCCAGACUCCUACGGGAGGCAGCAGUGGGGAAUAUUGCACAAUGGGGGAAACCCUGAUGCAGCGACGCCGCGUGAGCGAUGAAGUAUUUCGGUAUGUAAAGCUCUAUCAGCAGGGAAGAAAAUGACGGUACCUGACUAAGAAGCCCCGGCUAACUACGUGCCAGCAGCCGCGGUAAUACGUAGGGGGCAAGCGUUAUCCGGAUUUACUGGGUGUAAAGGGAGCGUAGACGGCAAUGCAAGCCAGAUGUGAAAGCCCGGGGCUCAACCCCGGGACUGCAUUUGGAACUGUGUAGCUGGAGUGUCGGAGAGGCAGGCGGAAUUCCUAGUGUAGCGGUGAAAUGCGUAGAUAUUAGGAGGAACACCAGUGGCGAAGGCGGCCUGCUGGACGAUGACUGACGUUGAGGCCCGAAAGCGUGGGGAGCAAACAGGAUUAGAUACCCUGGUAC
rnacentral:rRNA from 1 species